UAAGGAAUAUUGGACAAUGCCCGCAAGGGUGAUCCAGCCAUGCCGCGUGCAGGAAGACGGCCCUAUGGGUUGUAAACUGCUUUUAUACCGGAGAAAACCUCCCCUCGUGAGGGGAGCUGAUAGUAUGGUAAGAAUAAGCAUCGGCUAACUUCGUGCCAGCAGCCGCGGUAAGACGAAGGAUGCAAGCGUUAUCCGGAUUCAUUGGGUUUAAAGGGAGCGUAGGCGGCCUUAUAAGUCAGUGGUGAAAUCUUUGGGCUUAACCCAAAAAUUGCCAUUGAUACUGUAGGGCUUGAGUACAGUUGCUGUGGGCGGAAUAUGACAUGUAGUGGUGAAAUACAUAGAGAUGUCAUAGAACACCGAUUGCGAAGGCAGCUCACAAAACUGUAACUGACGCUGAGGCUCGAAAGUGCGGGGAUCAAACA
rnacentral:rRNA from 1 species